AAAAUAGAGGUGAAAGUCAACAUUCACUGCCAUAAGUGCAAAAGCAAUAUAUUGAAGUCGUCACUAAACUUCAAGGUAUGAAGAAUGGGUUGACAAGUUUGUCGAAAUUUACUAUGUUUUGAACUAUGACAUGUGUAAAAUGAUGCUAUAUAUAUUUUGAAUGAACAUGCAUUGAUCAGAUAUCAGUGGAUAGUGAGAAGGGGAUACUAACCGUUAUUGGGAAUGUUGAUCCUGUUUUAGUUGCAACCCAAGUGAGGAAGUCUAGAAAGGUAGCAGAUCUCAUUGGUGUUGGUCCAUCGAAGACUAAAGAGAAAAGGCUCGACCCUCCUAAGUCUGAACCCGCUAAAUGUAUACCUGACCGUUGUAAUGAAUGCUAGUUUGUAGCUGUCAGCUACGUUGUUCCCUAUGACAACAUUCCAUUUUGCUCUAUCUUGUGAGAGAUUAUAGCAUCUAAUGUGUCAAAUUUUAUUGAUAUACAUUGAUUUAAUUGUGCAUAAUAUUGUCUGCAUUGUUGCGGUCCCUUCACCAACAUUCUCUGUUUUCUUUCUUUGUUGCCAUAUAGUCCUCUAGAGAUUAUCUGAAUGCUUUCUAUGUAGGUCAUGAAUAUAGCGGAUUAAAUACCAAAUGGGAUUGGCACAUACUGUUGUGUUUGGCUCCACAGUCUUGGAUUCCAAGGUCUCAAGUGAACAUGAUGAGAUCCAAAGUCAUUUGGCAAUUGUUCUUCGUAAAUAGUUGAGUCCAUGCAUUUAAUGCUCGGGAGAAUUGCACUGGUUUUCUUCAUCUCUCAUUGUGGAUCCACACAAGCACCAUGUAUACAUAUAGGGCCUACUGCACACGUUUCAUUAUUUUCUAGGUUGGUAAGUCAUACAUGUGCACAUGUCAUUUUUUUCUUUGAGAAAAUGGUUGUGGAAUACUAUUCUUCAAUUUUCAUGCUAAUUUCCUCUUUAGGUCCAUUAUUGUGUUUUGAUGAUAUCAAAUUUCAUUCUCUCAUGGGCUGUGUAUGGUUCCAGUUGUGUAAAAGAUUAAGUUAAUCGUUCCAUAUUUGAGGAUAAAUCGAUGCGAGCUCAACUCCUCUUUUAGCAUCCUUGGAAACCAAAAUCAUUACAAGAUUCGAGAUUUGAUAUGGACAUGUUUGGUAAUUUGGAGGGCAGAUGGUAGCUCAUUUUGUGU